UGGGGAAGGGGACUUUGUUGACGCCAGUCAACAACUCUAAUGUCCCCGACGACUUGCCGCUGAGCGUAUGCGAAGGGGCGCCUCCUUGU
ncrna:unclassified sequences GA-cis RNA